rnacentral:lncRNA from 1 species
UAGCGUUGGAUGGUUAUGGCAAGCCUACGAGUUUUUUACAACUUCGACCUCUCACCAACAUUGUGGCUUAAUUUCUAAUUUCACCGGAUGUCCCCAAAGAGACACCUUUAUUUCAAUUCCACUGUUUUGGCUUUUGGUUUCUAUAGGCUGCCGGUUGACAUUCUUGUUGUUUUUGGGAUUUUGUUCCAUUGAAAAAAUGACUUGAUGUAUGUAGAAGGAAGGACAGAUAAAGAUUAGGGUUUGAAGUAAUACGAGAGAACUUGGACAUUUUAAUCUCUUCUAGAAAGUGUAGUCCUAAAUCUAGUAAAAUGGGGAAAAAAAAUUCAUAUAGUCCAUCCUGGCUAGUUUAAAUUAAAGCCGAGUUGAAUUGCAAAUAAGUGAAAUUAAUUUUGGAGAUAGAAUUUGCACGGCGAUUUAACCUUAUAUCUAUUCAUUUUAGUUCAAUCUUCUUCUUCAUUAGAUUUAAAUUUUGUUUUAACUAAAAAAUUUAUAUAUUUUUGGGAUAAUAACCCUUGAAAUCACGUACCACCCUCCUUUGCCGAUUUAUGACAGUGACAAAGCUCGCGCUAACUAAGGUUCAAAAGUCAUUACCGAGAUUGCCUAAAUAGCUAAAGUCCCAUAAUGUGCAUACAAGGGAUGAAAAUUUUCUUGACAUUCUUGUACUGAUAAUUAAACGUUGAAUGACAUAUCUUUCGAUCUAGUUUUACUAAUUGGAAUCUCAUUUCUGCCCAUGGCACUCAUCACAGAUCAUGGCUUUAUAUCUCCAUUUCCUGCAUGAAUUAGAGAACAGGUGUGAUACAUG